AAUCUCGGGUAAUUGCGGUCUACUUUUGUAGGCUGAGGAAAGUCCAUGCCCGCACAAGCUGAGAUGCUUGUAGUGUUCGUGCUCGGUGAAAAAAUAAGCUGAGGUAUCUCUUUUGAGAUAACGGCGGAAUACAGAACUAAGGUUUCGACUAUGUUCUUAUGUUCCCUAAGGUGCCACAGAAACGCAGCAAUACGAGAAAUUGUAUUGAUGGAACGCGGUAAACCCCACGAGCGGGCAACCCAAACAUUGGUAGGGGCGCUUCACAUCUGGAAUUGAACUAAAUGUGGGGGCAGGUGUUUCACCUGGAGAUAGAUGAUUACCCAAAUUUGAAUUGAACCUGAGAAUUCAUUUUGGACAAAACAUGGCUUAUAGAG
rnacentral:RNase_P_RNA from 1 species